UCAGGCAGGAAGCGAAGCAGCUCCUGCUUCUCUCUCUCGCUCUCUCUCUCUCUCGUUUUCUCUGGUGUAACUAGCUAUGUGUACACUCUAAAUAUUAGGGGUUCAACAAGGGUUCUUCUAAGAUCCUCAAAGUUCUUAGAAGAACCGUAGUGUUCUAGGCACUGAAAAUUGCAGACAAAAUGUUAUUCCAAGACCUGGGGUUCAUCGAGGAACCUCCUUAGUUGCCCCACUGAAACAUUUGGAUUUGAAAGAACAGCAGGGGCAGGCAUUUGAUCUCCUCAAUUUAAGGUAUACAGAUGAGGAGGCAUACACAGGUAUGUCAAUUGGUAUUGAUAUGUUAUGCAGAUCACAUUUACCAUCCUCCUCCCUUUCCUCUUCAAUGAAAAUCCCACAGGCCUCUACAUUAUGGACAAGACUUUACCCUCCUUACACCUGAUGAAUAAAACAGGAAACCUGUUCGAUCACCAUGCGCUGCAAAAACAUUAGGGGUAUGGAUGGGGAGAACAUCAACAUGCCAGAGGAUAUACCCAUUGGACUUGGGGCUCUGCUGGGAGUUUACCUCAUAUUUAGAUUUUUUAAAAUUCUGCUUUCCCACUAAAAUCAUAAUAAACACU